GAUGAAGAACGCAGCGAAAUGCGAUACUUGGUGUGAAUUGCAGAAUCCCGUGAACCAUCGAGUCUUUGAACGCAAGUUGCGCCCGAAGCCAUUAGGCCGAGGGCACGCCUGCCUGGGCGUCACACGUCGUUGCCCCCCCAUCUACUCCUUCGGGAUUGCGGGGGGCGGAUGAUGGCCUCUCGUGCGCCUCGUCGCGCGGUUGGCCUAAAUGCCAAGUCCUCGGCGACGCACGCCACGACAAUCGGUGGUUGCGAAACCUCGGUGGCCUGUCGUGUGCGGUCGUCGCGCAUCGAGGGCUCGAAAAAAUUGCCGGGCUUCGGCUCGACUUUCAACGCGACCCCAGGUCAGGCGGGGUUACCCGCUGAAUUUAAGCAUAUCAAUAAGCGGAGGA
rnacentral:misc_RNA from 1 species